rnacentral:rRNA from 1 species
AGAGUUUGAUCCUGGCUUAGGAUGAACGCUGGCGGCGUGCCUAAUACAUGCAAGUCGAACGGAAAUUUAACGCUGAGGCGAGCUUGCUCAAUUCUUGUUAAAUUUAGUGGCGGACGGGUGAGUAACGCGUGGGUAACCUGCCUUACACUGGGGGACAACAGUUGGAAACGACUGCUAAUACCGCAUAAGCGCACAGAAUCGCAUGAUUCAGUGUGAAAAACUCCGGUGGUGUAAGAUGGACCCGCGUCUGAUUAGCUAGUUGGUGAGGUAACGGCCCACCAAGGCGACGAUCAGUAGCCGGCCUGAGAGGGUGAACGGCCACAUUGGGACUGAGACACGGCCCAAACUCCUACGGGAGGCAGCAGUAGGGAAUAUUGCACAAUGGGGGAAACCCUGAUGCCAGCAACGCCGCGUGAGUGAAGAAGUAUUUCGGUAUGUAAAGCUCUAUCAGCAGGGAAGAAAAUGACGGUACCUGACUAAGAAGCCCCGGCUAACUACGUGCCAGCCGCUGC